rnacentral:rRNA from 1 species
UACAGAGGUCUCAAGCGUUGUUCGGAUUCAUUGGGCGUAAAGGGCGCGUAGGCUGCGGGGCAAGUCGGGUGUGAAAUCUCAGAGCUCAACUCUGAAACUGCACUCGAUACUGCUUUGCUCGAGGACUGGAGAGGAGAUUGGAAUUCACGGUGUAGCAGUGAAAUGCGCAGAUAUCAGGAGGAACACCCGUGGCGAAAGCGGCUCUCUGGGACGGUACUGACGCUGAGACGCGAAAGCGUGGGGAGCAAACAGG